UUUAUUUAUUCGUCAAAUUAUUAUGUUUGAAUAUUUUAGUAUUCUAUUUGUUAUUACUAUUGACAAACGUUACGUUUCCAAUCCAUUCAACAAAGACCAUCAACAAAAUAGAAAAAUAAGUUCAACAUAAAAUAGAAUAGAUGACCGCGGAAUCAAUCUGGAUUUCGAGACCUAGUAUUCUGAUACUAGGUGCGGCAUUAAGAGGAAUGUUAUCCAAAAGAAGGCAUGCGACAAUUAGUUUUUUAGUGGUUAACGCGCAAAAGUAAGCCUUGGGGGUGGGUUCACGGGCAUAAGGUCAGAAUUGUAGACGACCUGAAUGCUUCGAUCGAAUGGACCUUACUUUCAAUAGCUGUCGCUCAUCUGUGUUAGGUAAGCCUGAAGAUAUCAGCUAAUCGACCAUGGUGUAAAACAUUCUGUCGGUUGUAGAUCAACUGGUGACCCUCUAAGUAUACGUUUUAUGAGUUGGCAAUUCAUUAUACUCUCCAUGAUUUUGGAGAACAGGGAGGUUAUGGCUUGUAAUUCAACCGGAUCUGACCUGUUCUCAAAAAUCACCUUUGAUAGGGAUCAAAUGGACAAACAAGGGCUAAAAGAAAUCACAGGAGCAUCGUAGGCAACAUUCAUGAAGAUCAAGUUACAAGUUGGCGACAUGGUUAAUUUUUGUUGUGCCAAAUAUAAAAUAUUAUUUGAAAAAGGCCACAUUAUUUGUACUAAUACACAAAUGUAGUGCA